UCAACUCCUCCAAAGACACCCAUCACCCGACAGAAAUCUAAAGGUAGGUCACAAGAGAUGAACACCCGUCAAGAAUGUUCAUCUGAGCCUCCUGGGAGUGAUGACUAUGAUGAUAAUCCCUUAUUUGUCCCAAUUAGCUCUGAUAAUGGAGAAGAUACUACGGUAAACGAUUCCGACCCCAUUAUAGGAAAUGCCCCUUCUAACUCCAGUACACGAGUAGUGGCAUCGGAAGAACCCGAAGUGCGUCAGUUAGAUAAUAACCCUUCUGAAUAUAUUUCACAAGUUAGUGGGGAUGAUAACAUGGUUAGCAAAACUGAGGAGAUUAUGUCUGAGGAAACGGGUACAGUAAUCAGGAAUGAGGAAGAUAAAUUUGUUGAGGAUAAUGAUCCGAUCAGAAAGGAAACCAAAACUCUAAAGUCACCUGAGAAAGAUAAAGGUGAGCAUGAGGGUAUAGCAGUAGAUGAAAACGCACCCUCAUUGAGUGAACCACAAGUGAGAAGAUCAGCCAGGAAUAACAAAGGUGUAGGUCCCAAUAAACUUGUCUAUCACCAUCCUGGUGAACCGCUUAAUGCAGAUUUUAAGCUUGUCCUUGUCCAGCAAAUGCGAGCAUUUAUGGAAAACCUGUUAUGAAUAUAGAAACAAGUAACUAUCUUUGUAUGAAUAGUGCUCUUGUACGUGUGUUUGAUUGUGAUAUGAUUUUACACUGUGAUGUAUUUGAUGUACAUCCUAUGGUUGAGUCAUAAUAACCGUGGAUAUAGUAGGGUUAUUUUUGUUACAUAAUUUACAUAUUUGUACUUAGAUAACCUUCAUUUUGCAAGUUUUUGUUGUUGUUCAGAACUUAAGUUAAUGGAAGUAUUAACUUAGUAUGUGUAAUGAAUUGGCAUAACUUAACUAAGUUAGUAAGUUAGGCAUGAGGGUUCUCAGAGGAGCUGAGUGGUAGGACUCCAUCUGCUCGCAUCAUGGAUGAGACCAGGACCACUGUCAGAGUUCUACCAUCGGGGAAGCUAUUCUUCGCCAGAUAUCAGCACUCGGAACAAGAUGACACCAGUAGAGAGACAUUUUCGCAUAGUCGCUGAGAUAAAAUGCAUCGUUGGAACUUGGACGUCAGUCAUAAUAUAAUGGGUGAUACAGAGACGCAUAUCAAUACUUACAUUAAUGAACUGCAACAUUAACUAGUGUCUGAUUAUACACACUGUGACUGUAAGUCAGGGACAAUAGUCCUGAGCCCAUGUACAUUGAUUUGAAUGAUUCAAGACGGUCCUACUUUCAUGGAUCAGGACCUUAUAUGCAUCAAACAGCAGAGACUGCGUCAUAUGCAUCAGAGAAGAUGACAUACAACAGACUCUUCGGCAACAAUGGGAUUCUGGGAAUCUCAAUUCUUCAGUUGCAACUGGCUGUCAUACUCGGACCCUAGCUUCAAAGCAAAAUAGUAUUUAAUUGUUUUGCUCAUGUCCUUUGUAUAAAGGACCCGUGGAGAUAUAUUGUUUCAUACUUUGGUUGAAUGUUCUGUGGAGCAUAUGAAAAUCAUUAUGUGCAUAUAUUGUCUAUGAUCGUUUUUAUUUUUCCUCGUGGCGGGAUAUUUUUUUAAGGGGGGAAGAGUUGUAGCCCCUCUUUGGUGCCACAUAAGUAAAAAGGGAUUAACCCCUUUAAAGUAUGGCAUUAAUAGCUAUACCUACAGUAGUGAUCGAUAGGAGAGAUUUUGUUGUAACUUUGUGGCGAAAGCAAAUUGUUUAUAUUAGCCAAUAGUUCUUGUGAGUGAGUCUUGCCAGAGGUUCCACCUUUUAACCUAUAGGGCCUAUAGGGUGAAACUUCUCGGAACUUCUUGGACUGCUCCAUAUUAAUUGCUAUAGGGGUAGAAAGCUUUUGAGAUAAAAGUAUAUUUCAUAUUUGUAUGUUAUCUGUUAAUUCUAGUUGUUAUCACUUUGCAUGACUUUGCUUAGGAUAUAUAUUCAAUGUCUUAUAUUGCUGUAUAAAUGACUCACGGAUCAACAGCCACAACCAACUAUUACUAUUCAGACCCCUUUCCUAUAAUAAUGGUAUAUUCGAUAUACCAACAUCCAAGAUUUUCUUGAGGCAUCUUCCUUCUUUCACUAUUACGAAGAUGGAGAGGAAGCACCCUCGAAACAUCAGUCUUCAAUAACUUCUGUUUUUCCCUGCCCUUUCAGAUCAGGCUAAAGGUCGUCACCUCAUGACACCCCUGUCAACCUGAGACCCUCUGUAAUUUGUCAAACUUAGUUUUGUUUUAAGCCAUAGAGAUAAUAUCUCAACUUAUUGCCAUGAAGUUAAUGUAAUGUAACCAGGAGUUACAGAUUCUUGUAAAUAUAUUGUAAAUAUGCUUUGUAUUACUCAAUAAUAAAGGAACUUAUACAUUUCCUUUA